CAGGUAAUGAUGAGCAUCUGAUCGUCUUCAGAGACACAAAGAUCUCAGUGUUGAGCUGUUCAUCUGCAGUCUGUCAGAGAAGAGAGGAAAGAUGAGUCUCUCACACAAACAGAGUGUAAGAUCAGACUCACAUGUGUCCAGCUCUGUGUCUGUGAAGAGUGACCAGUCAAAGGAUGGUGAAGGACCGAACUUCAGUGAAGAAAGGGCAUCACAAACUGAACAGUAUUUGAUGUCUUUCUUAUUUUUCUUUAAACAUAGAAUUUGUCAAAAAGUGUAUCAGCAAAUAAUUAUAAUAAAACUUUGAAUACAGUCCGUAAA